rnacentral:rRNA from 1 species
UGGUGGAGUGAUUUGUCUGGUUAAUUCCGUUAACGAACGAGACCUCGACCUGCUAAAUAGUUUACUGUACUCUUUGGGUACACGUAAACUUCUUAGAGGGACUAUCGGUUGUUAGCCGAUGGAAGUUCGAGGCAAUAACA